rnacentral:rRNA from 1 species
GAUGAACGCUGGCGGCGUGCCUAAUUCAUGCAAGUCGAGCGAACAGACGAGGAGCUUGCUCCUCUGACGUUAGCGGCGGACGGGUGAGUAACACGUGGAUAACCUACCUAUAAGACUGGGAUAACUUCGGGAAACCGGAGCUAAUACCGGAUAAUAUAUUGAACCGCAUGGUUCAAUAGUGAAAGACGGUUUUGCUGUCACUUAUAGAUGGAUCCGCGCCGCAUUAGCUAGUUGGUAAGGUAACGGCUUACCAAGGCAACGAUGCGUAGCCGACCUGAGAGGGUGAUCGGCCACACUGGAACUGAGACACGGUCCAGACUCCUACGGGAGGCAGCAAUAGGGAAUCUUCCGCAAUGGGCGAAAGCCUGACGGAGCAACGCCGCGUGAGUGAUGAAGGUCUUCGGAUCGUAAAACUCUGUUAUUAGGGAAGAACAAAUGUGUAAGUAACUAUGCACGUCUUGACGGUACCUAAUCAGAAAGCCACGGCUAACUACGUG